GAUUUCGAUUUGGAAGAAGUCGAACUUGAUAUUUCUUUUCUUUCUGUUGAGGAAGCUAAUUCUUCCCUUCUACUCAUUCACAUUGUUUUGUAUCAUACUGCCACUGACCAUGUUCUUACCUGAGGCAGAACUGCCUCUUUGGGUAAUCUGCUACAUUCCGAUUUUCAUGUCCUUUCUAAACAUCCUCCCCUCCCCGAAAUCAUUCCCUUUCUUGGUCCCCUACCUUCUUUUCGAGAACACAAUGUCUGUCACAAAGUUCAACGCCAUGGUCUCAGGGCUAUUCCAGCUCGGAAGUUCCUACGAGUGGGUGGUGACAAAGAAGACCGGAAGAUCAUCUGAGUCGGAUUUGCUAGCCUAUUCAGAGAGGGAAUCGUUGUCUGCGAACGAAGAGAAGAUCCUGAGGAGGAACUCCGAGUCGGGUCUAGAACUACUAAGCAAACUUAAGGAACAAGAAGAAGUAGUUCCCAAGAAAAAGAAGAAGAAUGGGAUCUACAGGAAAGAGCUUGCUCUAGCUUUCUUGCUGCUCACUGCAGCAGCCAGAAGCUUCUUAUCUGCUCAUGGAGUUCACUUCUACUUCUUGCUUUUCCAAGGCUUGUCAUUUCUUGCUGUAGGGUUGGACUUAAUAGGUGAGCAGAUGGGCUAAAACAAGCUAAACAAAGUUCAUAUUUUUUUCCCAUAGUUUUUUCUUUUGACAGCUACGAUGAACCCUAAUCACGUACGAGAAAUUAUUGUGUGGGACGGUAUCACCACAUCAAAUGGGGUUCAAAAGUUGAAUUCAUUUUUACAUGUAGAAACAUUUUCCUUUUUGUUAGAUAGUAUAAGAAAUAAAUUAUUGUACAAUGGUAUAUGUCAUCAGUGUAUGAAGUAUUGAUAAUCAAGUAUAAACAACUCAGUUAUUUUUUCAUUGCUUUAUGAAUUGUGGGGUUUUACGCUCCAUUUUCGUCCAUUUGCACUCCUCUUCUUGCUUCUAUAUGUUCGAAUUAUCAAGGCAUAUGCAAAAACAAGGGAGCGUGAAAACUGUCACCGGAACAGAAAAACACAUACCACCUCAACACAACCAAGAAACAAAAUGAACCAAACUUUGUACUAUAAAUCAGUCAAGACUUGAAAUAGAAGCAUAAUUUUUUACAUAAACUUGAGCCGGAAUUGGAUUUUUUGUCAAAUGUAGUAACUUUGUGUUGCAUAAAACCUAAACCCUAAAAAAACAAGGGAGAGAGUAAAUUAUCGUCGAAACUUUAGAGUCUAUUUGGUACUCUACUUGAAUUUAACUUUUUAAAACGCAAAACAAUUUUCAAGUUUUAGGCCUUAAAAACUUGUUUGGUAAGACUAUUUUCAAAAACUGAACUCAAGACUAACUCAAAAAUAUAGUCUAUUCUCUAAAAACACAAAAAGUGAGUUUUAAGAGUUUUUAAACUUAAACUCACUAUUUUCUUUUUUCUACCUCCUCCCCUCUCACUCUAAAUCUAUCUCUCUUUUAUUCUUUCUCUCUCGCCCUUCGCUUUCUUUCUUCUUCUUUUUUUACCUUUUUCAUCUCUCCUUCAAUCUGCUCUCUUCAUUCUCUCGAUUCUUUUUCUCAUUCCUCUUUCUCUCUAUCUCCUCCGAUCCUUUCACUUCUUUCUCUCUCAGACCCCCUCUUUUUUGAUCUCUUUGUUAGUGUUACUCUAAUUUAGCUGGAUUUGUUUUUAGAAUACUGAACAGAAGCAAAAGCAAAGAUGGAAGAUGAACCGAAAAAUAGUUUUUUUCUUUCUUGUUCUCUACUGCAAAAAUAUUGCAGAGGAAUAUUUUGUACUACUCAGAAAAAUGAGCACUCACACUGCUUUACAUUUAACUGAUGGCCUUAGCUUUAGGACCACACUAAACACUACUUUUAAUCUUAGUCACUCAUCAACCUAAUUACAUGGAUCAAACACCACAUGGCACUCAUGGCCUUACAUCAUUUAACCUUACACUUGGCAUAUAUGCUCAAAUGAAUACACACAUUAAAACUCAUCUUAUUUCUAAUACUUAAUCAGCUAGAGACUUAUAAUUCAACACUCCCCUUUAAGUCUUGAGCUGAUUUCACUCCUAGCAUGUUCCUGAGAUAAUUAAACCGAUCUUUAGGCAGAGGUUUUGUGAAGAUAUCAGCAAGUUGUUCAUUAGUUGGACAGUACACCAGAUCAAUGAUACCAUCCUUCAGUGCAUCCUUGAUGAAAUGGUAUCUUCUGUUAAUGUGUUUGGUCUUUUGAUGAAACACAGAGAGUUCUUGGUGAUUGCAAUUGCUGAGGUGUUGUCACAGUGCACUGGAGUGGCUUCGGUUUGAAAUUCACCAAAGUCUUCAAGCACAAAUCUCAACCAAAUGGCUUGAGUAGUUGCUUCUGAAGCACUGAUGUACUCUGCUUCUGCAGUGGAAAGAGCAACGCAAUUUUGCUUCACAGAUGCCCAAGAGAAUACUCCACUGCCAAAGGAGAAAGCAUAACCAGAAGUACUUUUACUGUCCUCAAUUGAUCCACUCCAGUCACUGUCACAGAACCCAAUUAACAUUGAGUUCUUACCCUUCACAUAUUCCAGACCAUAAUCAAGUGUACCCUUAAUGUAUCUUAGCACUCUUUUAGCAGUUCCAACAUGCUUACUGGUAGGGCAGUGCAUAAAUCUGGCUAACAGACUGGAUGCAUACAUAAUAUCAGGCCUGGUUGCAGUGAGAUAUAAGAGACUUCCCACAAAACUUCUGUAUAACUCUUCACUUGCAGCACCACUUCCAUCAUUCGUGGUUAACUUCUCAGUUGCAACUAAUGGAGUAAGCACAGGUUUGCACUCUUUUAGACCAAAUUUGUCUAACAAAGAGCUUGCAUAUUUCUUUUGGUGGAUGAAAAUGCUUGAAGUGGUCUGAAUUAUUCCCAUUCCAAGAAAAUGAUGUAGAAGGCCCAAAUCAGUCAUCUCAUACUUUCGUUUCAUGUCUUCCUUGAAUUCUUCAAGCAUUUGUUUGUUGCUCCCAGUAUAGAUUAUGUCAUCCACAUAGAUCGACACAAUCAAAAUGCCUUCCUCUUCUGUCUUGAUGUACAGUGUUGGUUCACUUAAGCUUCUUGUGAAACCACAUUGUGAGAAAUAGGUAUCUAUUUCUCCAUACCAGGCCCGUGGUGCCUGUUUUAGACCAUACAAGGCUUUGUGAAGUUUGUAUACCCUGUCUUCCUCCCCUUUAGCUACAAAACCAUCAGGCUGCUCCACAUAAACCUCCUCCUCUAGAACACCAUUCAGAAAAGCCGAUUUUGACAUCAAGUUGAUAGAGUUUCCAACACUUUUGUGCAGCCAAUGCUAUAAGAGUUCUGAUUGUAUCUAAACGGGCAACAGGAGCAAAGGUCUCGUUGUAAUCUAUUCCUGGUUUCUGGGCAUAUCCCUUUGCAACAAGCCUUGCCUUGUUCUUUUUGCACAGUUCCAUCCAAGUUGAGCUUGGUUUUAAACACCCAUUUUACUCCAAUUAUAGGCUUGUUACUUGGCCUGUCCACUAACUCCCAGGUUGCAUUUUUUUCAAUCAUUGAAAGCUCAUCCUUCAUAGCAUUCAUCCAAGAUUCAUCCUUACUUGCAUCUUCAUAUCUCUCUGGUUCCAUAAUGCACAGAUUACAUUUAGCAAGUACAUCAUCCAGCCUUCUCCAUUUUAAUGGAGUAUGAUCAAUCACUUGUGAAUCUCUUGUACUUUCACAAGAUCUACUAGAGGAUUCAGUAGAUUGGACUUGAGGAGUAACCGGUGCAUUAUCAGUAUCACUUGUUAUUUCUGUCAAACUUCUAGAUGGCAAAGUAUUAGAGGUUGGGGUCUCAACCUCUGUGAAUGCACUGCUUGGUGACUCACCAGACUGCCCUUCAUAAUUGAACAUAGACACAUGUUUCUCUGUGCUUUCCUGCCAAUUCCAACUUGAAUCUUCAUCAAACACAACGUCUCUUGACAGUAUUACCCUUUUAGAAAAUGGAUCAAAGACCCUAUAACCUUUCUCACACCUUGCAUAGCCAAUAAAAACUCCCUUUAGACUCUUAGCUUCUAAUUUGUGCCUUAAUUCAGCUGGGAUAUGAACAUAACAAACUGAGCCAAAAAUCUUCAAAUGUGCAAUACCCGGUUUCCUUCCACUGUAAGCUUCAAAGGGGGUUAUGUUAUCAAGAGACCUGGUAGGACAUCGAUUCAGAAUGUACACAGCAGUAUGCACAGCUUCUGCCCACAUAUAAUAGGGCAUUCCUUUAUCGUGUAGCAUAGACUUAGCCAUUUCAACCACGGUUCUGUUUUUCCUUUCCACCACUCCAUUUUGCUGUGGAGUGUAUGCAAGAGAAAGUUGCCUUUGAAUGCCUUCUGUAUCACAGAACUGAUUGAACUCAGUAGACAAGAACUCCCCUCCUCUGUCACUCCUCAGACAUUUCACCCUUAAACCAGUUUGUAACUCAGUCAUUGCUUUUGAAUUUCUUGAAGCAGGAGAAGGCCUCAGAUUUAUAUUUAAGAAAGUAUACCCAGAUCAUUCGUGUUGCAUCAUCCACAAGCAGCAUAAAGUAUUUGUUUCCUCCAGUGGAUUCAUUUCUCAUUGGUCCACAUAGAUCAACAUGGAUCAAUUCGAGUGAAGCACCAGCUCUUUGUGUUUGACCACUAGGGAAACUUUCUCUGUGCUGUUUACCAUAUUGACAACCUUCACAGACUCUAUCAUUCUCUUCUAGAUCUGGUAAUCCAUGAACCAUAUCUUUCUCCUUCAAUUUUUUGAUUCCACCAAAGUUUAGGUGGCCAAGUCUUCUGUGCCAAGUCCGGGCACAGUUAGCAAAACUGAGCUUCAACACAAGUUGCUUUUCAGAACUUAGAGAUAGAGGAUAGCAUCUGUUUCCUCUCAUCUUUACACUGAUAAUUUGACAUUCCAGAGAAGGGCCAUCAAAGACAGUACACAUACCUCCACCAAACACAAGAUAGUAUCCGUGCUCAUCCAUUUGUCCUACACUAAGUAGAUUCUCUUUCAAGCCAGGUAGGUACAUGACUUCUCGAAUGUAUUUUCUUCCUCUGUUAGUCUCAAUUUCCAGUGAUCCAAUUCCUGCCACAUUAACUAAUCCUCCUGUUGGCAUUUGAACCUUCCCUGCAACAUUCGUAUUCACAUCAACAAGAAGAUCAACAUUUCCUGUCAUAUGAUUACUGCAGCCGCUAUCUAUGUACCAAUCUCCAUUAACCUUAGUCUCAGCAACUGCACAAUUUGCAUAAAACAAGUUCCCUGUUACUUCCAUUUGACUGGCACAGUUUGCCUUUUGAACAGACUUUCCAACAGUACAUUCUUUUGCCCAGUGCCCAAAUCUGUCACAGUUAUAGCACUUAGAUUUCCCCUUAUACCUACAUUCACCAUAAUGAAACUUUAAACACACCUUACAUUGAGGUUUUACACUCUCUUGACCCAUACCCUGUGAGGAAGUACUAUUCUGUGCAACACUUGUGUAUGAUUUUUGCUGAAACUUUGGUUUUGACUCCCAUUUCUUGCCCUUUUGAUUCCAAUUUCUCUGUGGUUUAAAGGUACUAGACUGAGCAUAACUUCGAUUCUGCCCUUUUGAACUAACAGUAAGAGAAGAAAAUGCUCUCUCAGUUGCAUCUGAGGAAUGCAAAUCAAACCUCUGCUCUUGACUCUUCAAUAUAGCUAAUACCUCUUGCAGUUCAACAGAUUCUAAACAUUUAGUGUUUUCUAUCACUAAGCAUAUAGGAUCAUAUAUCUUAGUGAGACUGAUUAACACCUUCUGAACUAAUCUCUCAUUUGACAUAGUUUCACCAAACGUCUUCAUUUGAUUAAUCAGAUCAUUUAAACGAGUAAGAUACCCAGUCAAAGAUUCAUCAUCACGCAUUCUAGUGUAUUCAAAUUCUCGUCUAAGAUUCUGGAGUUUCACAGAUCUUACCUGAUCCCCACCGUGAUAUUCGCCAUAUAACAGAUCCCAUGCCAUUUUUGCUGAGUCUGCGUUUGCGAUUCGAGGGAAAAUCUGAUCGGAGACUGCGCUUUGAAUGAUUCCGAGAGCUUUUGCAUCUUUCAUGAAGAUUGCAGCCAUUUUCUCAUCAUCGUCAACAUCAACCUCUGUAUGUUCAUCAGUCUUAGCUUCCUUCUUCUUCGAAUCAGGAACCGGAAUCCCUUUUUCCACCAGAUUCCACAGUCCAUACGACUUGAAAAUGGUAACCAUUUUGAUUCUCCAGAACUCGUAGUUCUCACCGGAAAAAGAUCGGGGUCCUCACUUCAGCACUCCCAGGUCCAGCCAUCGUGAGCUUGUGUGAACCCAGAAACACGUAGUUCUUAGAUCACAGAUAAGCUCCGGCAAACUUCACCAAGUCCAGAGACGGUGACGUUUGAGCUCACAGAAACACGCCCAGAUCUAAUCGAAACAAGGCUCUGAGGCCAUGUUAGUGUUACUCUAAUUUAGCUGGAUUUGUUUUUAGAAUACUGAACAGAAGCAAAAGCAAAGAUGGAAGAUGAACCGAAAAAUAGUUUUUUUCUUUCUUGUUCUCUACUGCAAAAAUAUUGCAGAGGAAUAUUUUGUACUACUCAGAAAAAUGAGCACUCACACUGCUUUACAUUUAACUGAUGGCCUUAGCUUUAGGACCACACUAAACACUACUUUUAAUCUUAGUCACUCAUCAACCUAAUUACAUGGAUCAAACACCACAUGGCACUCAUGGCCUUACAUCAUUUAACCUUACACUUGGCAUAUAUGCUCAAAUGAAUACACACAUUAAAACUCAUCUUAUUUCUAAUACUUAAUCAGCUAGAGACUUAUAAUUCAACACUCUUUGUCUAGUUUAAAUUGUAAGAUUUAGAAUUUUUAAAUCGCAUACUAAACAAGUUUUUGAGUCUUAAAGAAAAUUGUUUUCAAGAAAUUUUUUGAGAAAUUAUAAAAAAAUUUAAAUAGGAUAUCAAACAAGCCCUUAAAAAAUACAUAUCACCAAACACAACCAAGAACAAAAUGAACAAAACUGUUAGACCAAGUCCGAGUCUGGUGGUGGUUUCCUCAAAUUCAGGAGGUUGUGAUCAACCUAAACUCUUAUCCAAGAAGAGUUAGAUGAGUUCAAACUUCUUUUCGAAUGUUAGUUGUUUUCCGUCAUACGUUUUGUAGCUUCUGUUGUAAUUUUGAAUUUGAAACAGCCUUGUAAAUAGGGAUUUCAAUCCCUGAUGUAAUUUGAACGUGAAUAUAAAUACAUGCAGCCUCUCUUUGAAAGGGCAUGCAAUUGAAAUGAAACCUUGAGAGUUCUUAAGUAUUACAUGGUAUACGAGCCCUAGCAGUCUAACGACUUAGAUCCUGAUUUUUUUUUCCAUGGCUGAUACCACAAACGGCGCUGCAACCUCCACCAACUCUAUUUCAAACCCUGCCAUGAAUCCUUUCUCAUCCAUGACUACGGUUGUCAACAUCAAACUGGAUCAAACCAACUAUCCUCUGUGGUUGGCUCAGAUCCUACCAAUCCUCAAGAGUCGUAACCUGAUGGGAUAUGUUGAUGGGUCAAUCGUAUGUCCACCCAAACAUCUUCCUGGUGCUGAUGCUCUCAACCCAGCAUACACAACUUGGGUGCAGCAUGAUCAAAUGAUACUAAGCUGGAUCAAUGGCUCUCUCACGCCAUCUGUGUUGUCCGUCAUCGCCAACAAGAGGUCCUCUCAUGACACCUAGGAGGCUCUCGAGCAACGAUAUGCUUCUACGUCCCAAAAUCGUAUUUUGUUUCUUCGAAAUGAACUGAUGCAAACUAAGAAAGGAGACAUGUCUAUUGCUGAUUAUCUUGAUCGAAUGAACUCGAUUGCUGAUAACCUUGCCUUAGUUGGCAACCCCGUGAAUGAUGAUGAACUUGUCCAGAUUAUCUUGAACAAUUUGGGCCCUGCCUAUGAAAUGACAGUGAGUGCUGCUCAAGCACGUGAUACUCCAAUCGCGUACCUUACACUUGAGGCCCUCCUACUGACUACCGAGAGACGAAUGGCUGCACAGACUGCUCAGCCUGUGGAGGCUGCUCCGGUGAAUGCCUUUGUAACUGCCAGAGGUCGUGGUGGACGACUUCGUGGAAAUGAACGUGGUGUUUUUCCGUCUGCACGUGGUGGUGGUGCUGUCAACCCGUGGGUGUCUUGAUAUUUCUUUUCUUUCUGUUGAGGAAGCUAAUUCUUCCCUUCUACUCAUUCACAUUGUUUUGUAUCGUACUCCCACUGACCAUGUUCUUACCUGAGGCAGAACUGCCUCUUUGGGUAAUCUGCUACAUUCCGAUUUUCAUGUCCUUUCUAAACAUCCUCCCGUCCCCGAAAUCAUUCCCUUUCUUGGUCCCCUACCUUCUUUUCGAGAACACAAUGUCUGUCACAAAGUUCAACGCCAUGGUCUCAGGGCUAUUCCAGCUCGGAAGUUCCUACGAGUGGGUGGUGACAAAGAAGACCGGAAGAUCAUCUGAGUCGGAUUUGCUAGCCUAUUCAGAGAGGGA
rnacentral:lncRNA from 1 species